GACGAACGCUGGCGGCGUGCUUAACACAUGCAAGUCGAACGGAAAGGCCCUGCUUUUGUGGGGUGCUCGAGUGGCGAACGGGUGAGUAACACGUGAGUAACCUGCCCUUGACUUUGGGAUAACUUCAGGAAACUGGGGCUAAUACCGGAUAGGAGCUCCUGCUGCAUGGUGGGGGUUGGAAAGUUUCGGCGGUUGGGGAUGGACUCGCGGCUUAUCAGCUUGUUGGUGGGGUAGUGGCUUACCAAGGCUUGGACGGGUAGCCGGCCUGAGAGGGUGACCGGCCACAGGGGGACUGGGGUACGGCCCGGACUCCAACGGGGGGAAGGAGUGGGGAAUAGUGCACAAUGGGCGGAGGCCGGAUACAGCAACGCCGCGUGCGGAAUGACGGCCUUCGGGUUGGAAACCGCUUUCGCCUGUGACGAAGCGGGAGGGAGGGUAAGGGAGAAAGAGGCACGGGCAAACUACGG
rnacentral:rRNA from 1 species